AGAGUUUGAUCCUGGCUCAGGACGAACGCUGGCGGCGCGCCUAACACAUGCAAGUCGAACGAGCGAGAGAGAGCUUGCUUUCUCAAGCGAGUGGCGAACGGGUGAGUAACGCGUGAGGAACCUGCCUCAAAGAGGGGGACAACAGUUGGAAACGACUGCUAAUACCGCAUAAGCCCACGGCUCGGCAUCGAGCAGAGGGAAAAGGAGCAAUCCGCUUUGAGAUGGCCUCGCGUCCGAUUAGCUAGUUGGUGAGGUAACGGCCCACCAAGGCGACGAUCGGUAGCCGGACUGAGAGGUUGAACGGCCACAUUGGGACUGAGACACGGCCCAGACUCCUACGGGAGGCAGCAGUGGGGAAUAUUGCACAAUGGGGGAAACCCUGAUGCAGCGACGCCGCGUGGAGGAAGAAGGUCUUCGGAUUGUAAACUCCUGUUGUUGAGGAAGAUAAUGACGGUACUCAACAAGGAAGUGACGGCUAACUACGUGCCAGCAGCCGCGGUAAAACGUAGGUCACAAGCGUUGUCCGGAAUUACUGGGUGUAAAGGGAGCGCAGGCGGGAAGACAAGUUGGAAGUGAAAUCCAUGGGCUCAACCCAUGAACUGCUUUCAAAACUGUUUUUCUUGAGUAGUGCAGAGGUAGGCGGAAUUCCCGGUGUAGCGGUGGAAUGCGUAGAUAUCGGGAGGAACACCAGUGGCGAAGGCGGCCUACUGGGCACCAACUGACGCUGAGGCUCGAAAGUGUGGGUAGCAAACAGGAUUAGAUACCCUGGUAGUCCACACCGUAAACGAUGAUUACUAGGUGUUGGAGGAUUGACCCCUUCAGUGCCGCAGUUAACACAAUAAGUAAUCCACCUGGGGAGUACGACCGCAAGGUUGAAACUCAAAGGAAUUGACGGGGGCCCGCACAAGCAGUGGAGUAUGUGGUUUAAUUCGACGCAACGCGAAGAACCUUACCAAGUCUUGACAUCCCUUGACGAACAUAGAAAUAUGUUUUCUCUUCGGAGCAAGGAGACAGGUGGUGCAUGGUUGUCGUCAGCUCGUGUCGUGAGAUGUUGGGUUAAGUC
rnacentral:rRNA from 1 species